rnacentral:rRNA from 1 species
UACGUAGGGUGCAAGCGUUGUCCGGAAUUAUUGGGCGUAAAGAGCUUGUAGGCGGUUUGUCGCGUCUGCUGUGAAAUUUCGGGGGCUCAACCCCGAACUUGCAGUGGAUACUGCCGGGCUAGAGUCCGGAAGAGGCGAGUGGAACUCCUGGUGUAGCGGUGGAAUGCGCAGAUAUCAGGAAGAACACCAACGGCGAAGGCAGCUCGCUAGGACGGUACUGACGCUGAGACGCGAAAAGCGUGGGGAGCGAACAGG